AACGAACGCUGGCGGCAUGCCUAACACAUGCCAGUCGAACGAGACCUUCGGGUCUAGUGGCGCACGGGUGCGUAACGCGUGGGAACCUGCCCUUAGGUUCGGCAUACCUCCCCGAAAGGGGUGCUAAUACCGGAUAAUGUCUUCGGACCAAAGAUUUAUCGCCUUUGGAUGGGCCCGCGUUGGAUUAGCUUGUUGGUAGAGUAAAAGCCUACCAAGGCGACGAUCAAUAGCUGGUCUGAGAGGAUGCUCAGCGACACUGGGACUGAGACGCGGCCCAGACUCCUACGGGAGGCAGCAGUGGGGAAUAUUGGACAAUGGGCGAAAGCCUGAUCCAGCAAGGCCGCGAGAAUGAUGAAGGCCGUAGGGUUGUAAAGCUCUUUUACCCGGGAUGAUAAUGACAGUACCGAGAGAAUAAGCUCCGGCUAACUCCGUG
rnacentral:rRNA from 1 species